rnacentral:rRNA from 1 species
UACGUAGGGGGCAAGCGUUGUCCGGAAUCAUUGGGCGUAAAGAGCGUGUAGGCGGCCUGGUAAGUCCGCUGUGAAAGUCCAGGGCUCAACCCUGGAAUGCCGGUGGAAACUGUCAGGCUCGAGUCCGGAAGAGGCGAGUGGAAUUCCUGGUGUAGCGGUGAAAUGCGCAGAUAUCAGGAGGAACACCGGUGGCGAAGGCGGCGCUCUGGACCGAGACUGACGCUGAGGCGCGAAAGCGUGGGGAGCAAACAGG